rnacentral:lncRNA from 1 species
CGAGCGCGAGCGGCGGUCGCGGUCGCCGACCGCGCGGACGAUCGAUCGGUCGAUCGCGUCGCGAGGCUGUUUCGUCGAAGCGUCGGCGAUCACUCGCGCGCGCGCCUCGGUCGAUCCGCCGGUCGCGACAACGCUCACGAUGUCGGGAGGUCCCUACGGAGGCAGUUCGCUCGCCUCGGUGCGCGCUCGCGGACGCGCGCCGCGCGGUCGUCGCGCGGCGGAACCGCGGUCCCCGCGCGGCGGAACCGCGGUCCCCGCGCGUCUCGUCUCGUCUUCGUCGCUCAUCCUCCUAAAUAUCGCUUCGUCGACCGUCCGCGCGCGCCGUCCGACUGACGCCUCGCGCCUCCCUCCUCCUCCUCUCCUCCUCCUCUCUCGUCUCAGUUCAUGCGCGCCGGCGCGGUCGUGUUCGGCGUCGGUUACGGGGCGGUGAACGGCAUGUUCACCGGGCUGGUGCGCGCCCCCCCGCCGCUCUCGUCCCGUCCGCGGUCGCGUUCGUAGGGUUCGCGCGUCGUCGCGCGCUCGCCUCGCCCUCCCUCGCUGACGCGCGCCUCCCCCGAACCAUCUCGCUCGCUCGCGCCGCAGUUCAAAAAGUAAUUCUUGGCGAUAGAAGGGGAGAACCGCGCGGGCGCGAAGGGGCGGUCGCGCGAUCGCCCACGAGACGGCGGACGUUCUCCAGUACUGUAGCGGUGGUGGUGUAAUUCUUCAAAGCAUUAUUUUCUCACCGCGCGCGCGAGACGGACGCGGACGUCUCUCGCG